rnacentral:ribozyme from 13 species
CCAAUUUCUUUCUUCUUUUCUAUUGUUUUUUUCUUUCUCCUUGUUUCAUGAUUUUUGUUGAGAUUGAGAAUGACAUUGAGAAGCAGCAAUUUC